CUCUCCAGGAAUGAAAGGACUCCUUUCAAAAGAGGGAUAUAAGAUCCAGCGAAAUUGCGCAUUCGGCCACGCAUAAAAUGGUCACAAGAUAAGUACAAAUUCUUGACAAAUAACCCAUCUGACCCUUCUGGGACUUUCUCUAGCUUCAACUUUUUUCCAAUUCGCAAUUCCAUGUCAGUUUCCUUUGGUAUUCCUUCUAUGUAUCCUUUGAAUAUGAUUUGCUUGUUCUCCACUGUUUUUCCUAGUAGCUCAACAGCCUCUGCUUCUUCAUUUCCUGCUUUUUUCUCCAUGUUUUACAACUAUAGAUAGUGUACUCAAAUAAGGCCUUUUUGCAGUAGUUUUAGAAUUAGAUGAUCCCAAGAUAGCAAAUUUGUGAAAUUCUUGUUUCCUUACACAGCUAAACUAGGCAUAAGUAACUGGGGGAAUUUUUGAAAGUUGGGGGUGGGUUGGGAUUGAGAAAUGUGUAGUCAUAGCUGGAGUUAGGUAGGGGCAUUCAUCACAAAAGAACAUUUUCCUGGGAAGGCAAUGAACUAAGUUUAGGACACUAAUGAAAAGGUUGUCUAGUCCAUCCUUCCCUUCAAGAUCUGUCACUUCAGUUGGUCUACUGCAACAACAAAGAGAUGACUAAGUAAGAUACUGAGAACUGUGCUAUUAACUAGCUUUAACUGAUACCCUAUCAUGAAGUAUUACAAAGAGCAUGCAAACUAUCAGUAAUUCACCUAUUAACAAAGGGGGUUGAUCCAAGAGGAUUUGGAGUACAUCAACGAUCUAGUCUACUACUGUGAAGACAAAAAGAAAGUAACGUAGUCAUAUCAUUUAAAACAAAUACGAGUUCUGGUGCUUCUGAGAGUUAUUCUGAAUCAUUCCUAGUAAAUCCUUCUGCAAAUAGAAAGAUCAUUCAAAGAGGUUUGUGUUGGCUUCUGUAGGUGUCCAAUGUCCAUAGAGGAGCAAACACAGGUAAUGACUGAGUUGUAGCGGAUGGACUACAAGGGAUCACAAAGAGGAAGUCAAAAAAAUAACAUAAAAAGAAAAUGAACGGUCAAAAAGAAGAGAGAUAGAUGGAAAGGAAAACUGGAAAUGAGAAGGAAAUGAAAGGAAGAAAUGAUGGACCAGAAAUAGCUUUCUCCAUUUACUCAAGGCAUUUGUUUUGUGCUAAGAGACUUGGCUUCCCCAAGCAGAUGUCUUAUGGACUACAGCAGUGUGUUUUUUCGUUGUGCUCCAGUUAUCAAUGUCGCAAUCAUCUCCUCAGAGAUUCAUCCCUGGUAUCUCUUCGAAAUCAGAGGCAAACUACAGUUGGCAGAUCAAACCACAAACAUUGACUGCCAAAGUCCACAAUGCUCUCCCAGUUUAGCUUGGGAUGGUCAUCUGUAUUAGUUCAACCACCUCUUUUACAUUAAUGCACUGGACGAGACGAGACAUUUGACGUGCAACACAGUUGAAAGCAAACUGAAUAGAGAAAUGAAUGAACCUGUGAAAUUCAAAGAAGCAUUUAACGUAGAGAAAACUGAUUCUCGCAUGAAGACAUGUAAAUGACAUCCAGUUAAAGAUAUACAACCAAGUGCGGAGAGCAAGAAGAUUACUACAGACUAGACUCAGUCUACACCUGUAACAGAGCUUGGCCAGACUCUUACCUUAACCAUGCAAUACAUUGGGAAUGAAUAGCUUUGUCAGCUCUAGUCAAAACAAAGAAAUCAAUAAGUUUCCACACAUGAACACAGAUGGAUUAUCCAGUAAAUUACUAGGCUAACUGAAAUAUGCUUGGCAUAAAAAAAUCAACAUGCUAUUUCUUAAACCCUUACUACAGAUCAGAAGUUGUAUAAACAAAGAAAGAGUCACUGCUUGUAUAACUGUGUGAGAAAGCACGGGAGAAAAAUAUAACUGAUAUUAAACAUGAUACAAUGAGCCCUAUAUAUAAUACACAUAACCUAAGGGAUAUGAAGGCCCUUCCAACUGAGGUUGGCUGAGAAUAGGCUAAGUCUGAGCGUUUAAGAACUAAAUCCUUGCAAAAGGUUCCCCUGCAUUGAAGAAUGAGAAGGAAAUUCAGACUAAAUGUAAAUCAUAAGCAAUCCAAAUCUAUGCAGAGCUUUAAACAAGGAGUUUAAUUUAAAGAAAAUAGUUAUUACCCAUUUUACCAACUUCAAGUAACUAAUUUGACCAAAUUUAUAAUGUAAUAAUUAUUUUGCAGAGAGCACGGUCGGACAAUCUCUAUUUGCUAAAUAGAAGCACAUCUGAGCAUCUACUAAGCAACAUCCAA
rnacentral:lncRNA from 1 species